UACGUAGGUGGCAAGCGUUGUCCGGAUUUACUGGGCGUAAAGAGCGCGCAGGCGGUCGAUUUAGUCGCGUGUGAAAGCCCCCGGCUCAACUGGGGAGGGUCACGCGAUACUGAUCGACUCGAAGGCAGGAGAGGGUAGUGGAAUUCCCGGUGUAGUGGUGAAAUGCGUAGAUAUCGGGAGGAACACCGGUGGCGAAGGCGGCUUUCUGGACAGAUACCGACGCUGAGGCACGAAAGCUAGGGGAGCAAACAGG
rnacentral:rRNA from 1 species